UGCUAAAGAUAUUCCCCUCUCCUUGUAUCCAUUCUUUCAACUCCUCCAUCUCGCCGAGUGCCAGGCAGCAGAGUAACAACUACUCAAUCUGGAGAAAACUGUCUAGCACCUGACCAUGGGGCAGGACAGCAACACCACUGUUCACCACCUCAACUCCCUGCACCUGCAUUUAACAUGCGGAGAGUUACUCAAGGAACGGCAGUCCCUCCACAACUCCCUCCACCCCCCGCACCAGCCCUCAACAUGCAGCGAACAGAGGAAGCCUGUUCAAGCCUGAACUACAGACCAACAUGGCGAGGGGGAAGAAUGACCGAUACCAUUCCCUGCUCUGGUGAGCAAUAACUGACAAAUACUGGAGGGUCAUUCUGUGCCACAGAUUUUGGAAAAAAAAUCCCACAACCAUCACAUAUUUUCUUCAAACUUUGUCAAUAACUUUUGUCAUUAACUAAUGUCAAUAACUUAUGUCAGUAUUAUGAGUAAUGAGGAUAAACACUGAAACGUGAUAUAUUUUAUACACUACAUUUUAGCUAUAUUUCAUGUUUGUCAACAGCGGCUGAGGUCCACAUCCUUAGCCUGCUGGAAACUAUUAAACACCAUCAAGACCAGCUUGUGGCGAAGGUGAACUACCUCAGCAACAGGCUGAACAGCACCCCGGGGCCAGAUGUCGAGAUGCCUGACAAUAUCCAGUUUCCCCUGGAAC